UACAGAGGUCUCAAGCGUUGUUCGGAUUCAUUGGGCGUAAAGGGUGCGUAGGCGGCGCGGUAAGUCGGGUGUGAAAUCUCGGAGCUUAACUCCGAAACUGCAUUCGAUACUGCCGUGCUUGAGGACUGGAGAGGAUAGGGGAAUUCCCGGUGUAGAGGUGAAAUUCGUAGAGAUCGGGAGGAACACCAGUGGCGAAGGCGCCUAUCUGGCUGACAACUGACGCUGAGACUCGAAAGCAUGGGGAGCAAACAGG
rnacentral:rRNA from 1 species